UACAGUAUUGAAAUGUAAGCAUGCAUUUAAGCUGUAAGGAAAUUAUGUACUCAGAACCAAAAACAAUUUAUAUUUUCAAUAUGUAAAUGUUAAAUACAAGAGCAUAUGUAAACAGCUGGAUUACAAUUAUUUUAGUCCUCCUUUCUGGAUAAUUUAGGAUUAAACCAACAAAGCACCUACUAUGCACAGAUUGUUGCUUUGAGCCCUGUAUAGACUAGGAAAAGCAAGCAAAGUGGUUCUCAUUCUCAAGGUGUUCACCUGGAGGACGACCAGGUGAAAAUGUAAAUGACAGGAAACAUUUAAGUGGAUUCAAGAAGAACAUGAUAUUGUUUGACAUCACAAUGACUCACUGACAAAUAAGCUGCACAGAGAGAAAUUCAAUAAAGGUUCAGAAGGUCAGAGGGUCACAAGAGUUUACAACUCAUGCAGAUUCGACGUGAAGUGGGUUACGUAGAGAUAUGCCAGAGCCUCCUCCCUCCCCUGCCUCGUUGUGCCUGUUUAAGUCUCUUUUUCAACUGAGGACCCAAGAAAACAAGUGCCAACCAUUGCAGCAUAACAAAGGAGGUCUUAGAUCAUGUAUCAGGACUGAAAAAGAGAUGCCAAACCAGUUUUGUCAACUUUACCUAAGAUGUAUCUUCAAGUUAUACAAGCAAAGAUUAAGAAUUUGGCCAAAAAAUUGAAGAACUGUGCCAUGUACAUCUCCAGUCCUUCUGCUGCACCGCCCCCCCCAUGGGAGAGGGAAGCAUAGAGCGUCCCCUGGAAGAACUUCUUUGGGAUCCCUCAGAGAACUUAAUACGUGUCUCCUGGAACUUAAGGAAUAUAGUGGAGUGGUGCCUUACUCAAGUUUCAGGAAGCCGAAGUGGAAGAAGCUGUGUAAAGUGACAAUGCCAGCAGGAUAGGGGCUACAGCUGAGAGUUAACUGCAAUCACUCAGAAAGCCACAGGUCCCUAGAGAGGCAAGGACUCUUCACCACAAAGAGGCCACGGGAAGAGGAGGAAAAUGGAAGGGCCCCGCUGGUGCAGAGGCUUUUGCUCGUGUCAAGAAAAUUACAGAGGAGAGAUUCUCGGUGAUGCGGGAAUCUCCAAGUGCCUAUGGGAGAGGCCAUUUAAAAAAUGCGCCACAAGCAGCAAAACCACCCCCAGCUGAAAGACUGUCUGGUCUGACCCCAAGCUUGGAGAGGCUGAAGCUGGAACUAACAAGUAAGAGGUAGAAACUGGCAGAACAAAGAAAGAAAAACUGAUUGUAUGCCCCUUUUCCAGUGCCAACAGGAGCUUGUGACAGGCUGAGAUGGGAUGGCGAAGGAGGAGCAAAAUUUGAACUGAAUUUGGAAUUUUGUCAAAUUAAUUAAAUAAGUGAAAGUCCUUUGAGGACUAAAGAGACAGGAGGUCUUCUAAAGAUUAUCUAAUAGUAAAGUAACUACCAAUCAUUUAGUACAAGGAAGGGGGAAACCAACAUAAGCAGCCAGUUUACAGGAGAAGACGUGAGAAAAAUUAAAAUUGUUUUAAA
rnacentral:lncRNA from 1 species